rnacentral:tRNA from 2 species
CGGGAUGUAAUUCAGUGGUCAGAAGCCUUGGUUUUGGGACCAAGGAGUCGUGGGUUCAAAUCCUACCAUCCCGACCA